rnacentral:rRNA from 1 species
AAACCAACCGGGAUUGCCUUAGUAACGGCGAGUGAAGCGGCAAAAGCUCAAAUUUGAAAUCUGGUACCUUCGGUGCCCGAGUUGUAAUUUGGAGAGGGCAACUUUGGGGCCGUUCCUUGUCUAUGUUCCUUGGAACAGGACGUCAUAGAGGGUGAGAAUCCCGUGUGGCGAGGAGUGCGGUUCUUUGUAAAGUGCCUUCGAAGAGUCGAGUUGUUUGGGAAUGCAGCUCUAAGUGGGUGGUAAAUUCCAUCUAAAGCUAAAUAUUGGCGAGAGACCGAUAGCGAACAAGUACAGUGAUGGAAAGAUGAAAAGAACUUUGAAAAGAGAGUGAAAAAGUACGUGAAAUUGUUGAAAGGGAAGGGCAUUUGAUCAGACAUGGUGUUUUGUGCCCUCUGCUCCUUGUGGGUAGGGGAAUCUCGCAUUUCACUGGGCCAGCAUCAGUUUUGGUGGCAGGAUAAAUCCAUAGAAAUGUAGCUUGCCUCGGUAAGUAUUAUAGCCUGUGGGAAUACUGCC